rnacentral:lncRNA from 1 species
AAUAAGCAGUAGUCAAAAUUUUCUUAAAAUGACAUCUAUCAUAGGAUCCCUCAAACACUUUUAUGAUGUCUUCUUUGAUCAUGUUCCAACUCAUGGGAAAACCAAUGAUCAUACUUUUCUUUUAAUCAGAAACAAACAUUUUAUAGCCAAGAAUAAUUAGGUAUUCUCCACACUAAACCUUUUUUUUUGAUAAGUAAGCACAGAAUAUAUUGAUAAGAGGCCAAAAAGCCACAUGUAUACAGGGAGUAUACAAUCUAGCUAAGCCUCACAACCAAAAAAGAAAACAAAAGAACCUCACCAGCCCUUAUGUGGAGGCUAUCCACUCCAAGGAGCCUAUAAGAGCUCCACACUAAACCUUCAUACCCAUUCAAUCUUUUCAAAACGUUUUUUACCUUUUUCCUUUUUCUUUUUGAGGCAAAAGUGAGGUAUAACAGUAUAAAAAAUGUCUAACAUAAAGUGAUUGUUAUCAAAGAUGAAAAUGUCCUUGAAAGUCAGCACUAUUUCAUCAAAAUAUUGUGUUGGUGGACACAUGAAACAUGAAUCAGAAAUAUUGAAUCACUGACUUUUUUUCCCAUUAUUUCAGGUUUUAUCAGAAAUUUUCUGUUUCUUUUCUAAUUUGAUUGGGAUUUUCAGCAAUUA